rnacentral:misc_RNA from 1 species
CUCAGACCAAAGUAGAUUAAUGUUAAACCCCUAAAUCAUUUUUGAAUUCAAUAAAAAGAAUCAUUCACUAGCAACUUAGAAAUGGGGCGAGUUUUCAGUAAAUUUCUUCCCAUAAUUCUGUUUGGACAUUGUGUAUGUCAAUGGCUUUUUCAUUCCAAAUACACGACAAAGAAGAUUUUAAUGAGUCGAAUUCUAACUAAAAUGCUAAGUCAGAAAACUCCAACCAUUAAACUCUACCAACCAAAUAUCAACUCAAACCCCCACUGAAAACUAACAGCCUUACCAACUCAAUUUGUUACAGUAAAAUCCCCGAAUGGAGCUGGAUUGUUUUACCAAAGCCUCUGCCUCCACAGCUCCCUAAUGCAAAAUUAGAUGAGAGGAAACAGAUGGAUUUUUCAUUUUUGCACAGCUUUGGCCUUCUUCUUUACCGACUGAACCAAGGUUGCAAGCUCAGGCUUCUCCAUUUCUUUUGCACCUCUAGGUUGUAAUUUUUCAUCCUUCCUUGUAUUGCCAUUAGAGGGCAACUGAAGUUGCUUGGACUUCAUCUUAAGGGAUUUUACCAAUGAUGAUAUCUCGUGCUUCUCUUUCUUUGAUGGUAAAACAUCAGCACUUCUCUGCUCAUUUUUGUUUGCAACUGGCUCAUCAGAUAGCAACUGAGAUUUUGUUGGCUGUUUCUUAUGCUCUCCAUCUCCCAAUUCUAGCUGAUCACCCUUUUGCUGCCUCCGUGCCAUCUGCCUAGCGUAAGCUGCACUCCUUUUGAACUGUGGAUCUGUAGGAUCCAAUGAGAAUAGAUGUGAAUUAAAGAGAGCUGAAAACCGUGGAUCAUCAUAGUCAACAGUUGGUAGUUUGUUCUCAUCUGGAACUUCUUUUUCUCUUUUACCCUUUGCUGUUUUAUGUUUCAAAUUAUAUCCCUUUACACCAUUAUUAGCCCCACUAUCAUCAGCAAGUAACAACUCAAGCUCUGCUCUGCUCGCUUCUGCUUCCUUAUCUGUAUACUGGAGUUGCUUUCCUUCUUUGUCACUCUUAGCUCGAGCAUCCUUCUUUCCUUUUUUAAUAGCUGGUUCUUCAACAAAGAAAUCAUCAGGUUCUUCUAUUUCUUCAUCAGCAUCACUACUCUCGUCCUCUGAUGAAUACUUAGAUCUCUUCUUUCGGGCCUUCUUCUUCUCACGUUUUUCCCUGAGAUGUGCUUCCCAAACACUUUCUGAUUUCUCAUCCCUUUUUUUCAGAAUGUGCUUACUGAUAUCCUCCAAGCCAGUGUUAAAAGUAAUCUCCAUAUCCUGGCCUUCAUCCUCAUUCUCUACAUCUGAACCAUCACCAGACUGGAUUAAAGCACGAUACUUAUCCAGUUUUUUAUGCUUUUUAUCUGAUUCACCCUCUGCAAUGGCAGCAUCAUUUUCAUCCUCAUCGCUUUCACUCUCAUCAGAAGCUAAAAACUCCUUCAACUCCAAUUCAGCCAGCUGAUCAGCAUUAAAUUUUCGUUUCAAGGUCUUAACGCGCUGUGGUUCAUCUUCAUCCCAAGAAAUAGGAACACUACUGUGCUGCAGUGCUUUGGUAUGGAAAUCCAAUCCCUCAUAGCUAGCUGGUGCCUGAGCAAAAGAAACCCAAAUUUGGUAGUUUCUACUGUUUCUUAAACUAAAGUUCAAAGAAACCCAAACAAGUUGAAAUGUUGAACAAAGUUUGAUCACUUUUUGAUAGGGUUAAUUUCACUCAUGGUCGCCAAUUUUUAAUUUAUAUUAGCAAAAUCACUCCUGUUUGUACAAAAAGGUCACUAUCGCUAAAUUGUUUUCUGUAGAGAUUUAGCCAAAUAUUUUCGUAUGAUGACCAAGUAUGAUAGCCUUAUACCCUAUAGAACCAUAUUAGGAAAAUUUUAACUGCUCAAAUUCUGUCAAAAUGUAGCAAAAAUGAUUUCAUUGAAACAAAAAAAAAAAAGUAAGGUUAGUGAUUUUGCUAUUACAAAUUAAGUUUAAUGACCACAUUAAAAUAGAAAUUAAUGGUAAGUUCAAUGCCUAUGGUGAAAUUAAGCCCUUUAGCGGCUGCAAAUUUACUUUCACAUGCAAUAAAUUCUAGAUACCCCAAUUCCCUUGCUGAAGGACAUUUGAGUUUUAAGACUAUUGUCCAUAGAAAAAUUAUAAAUACACAACGCUUUGUAUGACAAGUGAAACAUAUACCUCCGUUGCAACAUCACGAGGUGGAUGUUUAAAUUCCAUAGAGUCAGGAACAAAUCUAAGAUCAAGAACAUUAGAAGAUCGUUCAAACUCAAGUCCAUCACAAGCUUUGUAUAGUUGUUCCGCUGUUGAUACAGAAUCACAUUCCACUACACCAUAGUAGUACCUCAGCCUACUUCUCUCAUAAGCACGCAACUUCUCUUCGUCAAUCUCAUCACCAUCAUCACCAUCCUUGUUCUCAUCAUCAAAUAAGCCAACAGGGCCAUGAAGUUCUUCCUCUUUCAUACGCUGUAGACCAAAUUCAGAUGGAUAGACAGACACAGACAAAAUUUCUCCUCCUUUUGGAAGAAAUGAGCACAGUAUUACGUACAAGUCAACAGCCUAUACAAUACAACAAAAUUCAGAGUCAAAGUACACCAAAGAAAGGCCUAGAAUAGAAUAAAGGAAGCUAAGAACAUAAAAUGGAACUUGUGCAUAGAGCUCAGCUAAAUAAUGCAUGGUCUCAACAACUAGGAAUUCCUUAUUCAAUGCAAAAUUUCAGCUUCAUGCCACUUCUUUUUCACUUAUAAAAGAAUUACACAAGUACAGAACUGAAAAAGAAACAGCCUGCUGCAGCAAUCACAAUUCUUAUUAUUGCUGAUCAGAGAAACAAGAAUACAUAUUCUCAGAUAUACUUAGUAAAGAAGGGCCAUUUAGUGGUGGCCAACUUACAAAGCAAAGGGAUGCAUCUACAAAAUACGAAGAUGAAUACUUAUAGACGAUGCAUUUAGCCUUAAACACUAUGAAAAUGAAGCAUUAGCAGCAACAUGGCAUACAAAAGUAGAGACAACAACAUCACCUGCCAUUGAAGGGGAAAUCUCCACCUAGCCAAAGAAGGUGGGCUGGGGUAUGCAUUUAGGCCACCCCACCCUGUACCAUGAUUGCCACAACUAUAUAUGUCAAUUUUUACCAACAUAAGCAUGUGAAAACUUAUUUACCCUUGGAAAUAUGCAAUUUAUUAAUCAAUGCAUUAAUUUCUUCCUUAUCAUUUAAUGAUAAUAUAUGAUAAAAAUAUAAUAUCUUUAAUGGUUGCAAAAUUGUAAAAUUAAAAAUAGGUUUUGUGCAAACUUUUUCUAAUAAGAAAUAAAAUUUUAAACAUAUAUGUAUUCCUAAUUCCAACUGCCAACACAUAUGCUUUCCUAAUUCCACAGUGUCCAUAUUUAAAGUGCCCACACAGAUGCAAGAAUAAGUUGGUGCCUACUUCCUAAGCAUUCAAAACUUUCAAUAGGAAAAUGAUUAAACAGCUAUUCAAACCAUGACCAUAGAACAUAUUAUAUCAAAUACUUUAAUGGCCAGACAACUAGAAUAAAAUCCAUUGAAAUGGUGUUAUAAAGAUAGGCAGGCUUCUUUUCUCUAUCACACACACCUUAAUUAUAAGGAUACGGCUAUUAAAAGCUUUAACUUAUAUGAAAAUGAGCUUAACAACCAUUAAAUCAAAUAUUAAUAUUUAGAUUUCUGCACUCAUUAGACAAUUUAUUUGAUCCUACACACAUAUUAAUACAAAUAUUUGAUCUAAUGCUUCUCUUAUAAGAACAAGCUUAUAUUAGAUGCACCCAAAUUAUAAAUCACAAUAACAUACCCUAACAUGUCUCCAGUCCAUGUUAACAACGGCAAGUCUGCGGGUUCCAUCUUCAAUUGAUGGUAUAUUUUCCACCUCCACUUCAGGCAAAUCAUCCUCAUACAACAUCUCCUCAUCCUCCUCGUCAGUAGUCGACUCAGCCUCACCCUCCGACUCCGACCCCUCCGUUUGACUAAUCGAAUCGCUUUCUUCUGCCACGAGAUCCAAUUUCUCUAAUUCCUCUUUCUCACUUUCUUCUCCAACUUCCUCUCCACCGUCAUCUUCAUCACUCACUAUCUUCGUUUCCUUCUCCGUCUCUUCCCUUUCAUCAUCGUUAUCUUUUUCUUCUUCUUCUUGGAUUCGAUAGUAAUGGCGCAGAGAACUUUCCGACUUGUGCUUCUUAGGCUUACCCCGCUUGUCCAAAAGUGCAGAAGACGAGGCAAAAUUUUUGUCGGUGAAGAUGCGGUUGAAGCGAGAGUCGAUUGCGACCUUGGACUUUUGCGUUGGAACUUUCUGAAACCGAGGGUCUGAGUGUACCGAUGCAAACCGAGGGUCUGCAAUGAUCUUCCUUCCGCCGCCCCCUCCAUGGUGGAUUUUGUCGCCGUUUUUAGCAUCUGAAUCUUUCUUUGGUUUGUUUUUCUUCUUCUUCCUGAUAUGAUCUGCGCUUUUGGAACCCAUGGGAACUGAACUGAGUGCACACAAUUUCCGGGGCUUAUGGUUCUCCCUAUAGGGUUCAAGCUUGACAAUUUUUCAAAGAUGUUGG